rnacentral:rRNA from 1 species
GACGAACGCUGGCGGCGUGCUUAACACAUGCAAGUCGAACGGAAAGGCCCUGCUUUUGUGGGGUGCUCGAGUGGCGAACGGGUGAGUAACACGUGAGUAACCUGCCCUUGACUUUGGGAUAACUUCAGGAAACUGGGGCUAAUACCGGAUAGGAGCUCCUGCUGCAUGGUGGGGGUUGGAAAGUUUCGGCGGUUGGGGAUGGACUCGCGGCUUAUCAGCUUGUUGGUGGGGUAGUGGCUUACCAAGGCUUUGACGGGCAGCCGGCCUGAGAGGGUGACCGGCCACAUUGGGACUGAGAUACGGCCCAGACUCCUACGGGAGGCAGCAGUGGGGAAUAUUGCAAAAUGGGCGGAAGCCUGAUGCAGCAACGCCGCGUGCGGGAUGACGGCCUUCGGGUUGUAAACCGCUUUCGCCUGUGACGAAGCGUGAGUGACGGUAAUGGGUAAAGAAGCACCGGCUAACUACGUG